CUCCUGCCAACUUGGCAGCUCAUCGCUGCUGUUACUAUCAACACCUCCAAGGGAAAAGGGAGAGGAGUCAGCUCUGAUCGCCUGGCGCACUGUGCAGCAAAUUCAUGUCAGAGCCAGCCUUGGAAUGUCUCCCAAGCUCCCAAGGCUCCUGGUGAGGAGGAAAAGGAGCCUUUCUCCCAGAUGUGAAACUGAUCCUAAGACCCCCUGUAAUUUCCUGCUGAAAAUCUCCACCAAGAAACACAGCCACAGCCACAGUUCUUCCUGUGGGGGAAAAAUGAUGUCAUCAGCUGAAAGUGAGAAGCAAGGAGAACUGCGUGCAGGCCUGAAAAGAAAGGAGGCGUGAUGCAGUCAUCUGCCAGAGGGAGUAGGAGAGGCGACUUGCCUGGGGAAAACAGUGUAGGAUUGCUGGGCAGCAAUAUGGCAGCAAUGUGGUCCUCUGAGGUCAGUGGUGAUGAAUUUAAAGGGAAACCUUUCAGUACAGCUCUGUGUUUUUCUCCAGCCACCUUUAACACCUGGAGUGCAGGCAUUAAAUAGCUAAAAGUCACAUUUGACAAGUGUUGAUUUUGCUAGGCCUAUAGGUUGGGAGAGAGAAGGUCAGAAUGGUUGUCAUUGUUAUCUAUUGCUGUGAAACACAUGACUCCAACACAAUUACUCCCAAACAACAAAUAUUUAUUACCUCAUAGUUUCUGUGGGUCACAGUUUGGAAUUUGGAAGCAGCUCAGGCUGGGCAGUUCUGGCUUGGGGUCUUUCACGAGGCUGCAGUCAAAUGUUACCUCAGGUUACAGUCAUCUAAAAGCUUGUAUAGGGCUGGAGGAUCUGCUUCCAGGGUGGUGCACUCACAUGGCUGGCAAGUCAGUAGUGGUGGUUGGUGGACAACUCAGUUCCUCUACAGGCUGUCAGAGUGUACUUACAGCCUGACAACCAGCUUCUCCCAGAGCUACCAGUCCAAGAGGGAGCAAAUAGCUUGCUGUCUCUCUCUCUGUGCUCACACACCAAGGAACGGCCACGUGAGGACACAGCAAGAAAGUAGCCAUCUACAAUUCAGGAAGAGUCUUCACCAGAAACCAAAUUGGACAGAAUCUUGGUCUUAGACUACUAGUCUCCAGAGCUGUGAGAAAAAAAAAAUCCAUGCUCAAGCCACCCACUCUAUAGCAUUUCGUUAUGGCAGCCAAGCUGAUGAGUACAAGCAUCAAAGAACUUGCAGACAUAUUUUAAUGUCACUACAAGGCCCCAGGGUUUAUGUAAGUAUAUUUAUCAUGCUGGACCAUGGAUUAUAAGCUGAGAAGUGAGGGAGGUGACAGCAUGGAGGAAUGCGUGAGUGAAAGGACUGGGGAACCAGUGUGUGGAAGGAAGUUCUCUGAGGGGAAGAGUGUAGGAGUGGGUGUACAAGGGAAGCAAGUUGAACAGAUAUGAGGUAGUGGUCAGAGAAAGCUGCUUGAAAUGGAGAUCUUGGACAUGGCACAGUUACUGCUGGUGAUAAGAUCUAGCAUUAGAUGAUGGGAGUGGGCAGCUGAGGCAGGCAGGGAGGGACAGGUCACUGGUGGUGAGAAGAUUAAUUAACUGGAGGCAGAAUGUUGGAGGGGUCAUCUAAUAGACACGGACCAGGAAUGAUGCUGAGUAUGGUGAUGAACAGACUGAUAGUGAGCCAGGUGCUCAUGUCUUUCACAAAUGGGGGAGUGAUGGGGAGAGAGUAGAUGAUUGCCACAGGGAGCAGUAGCAGGACAGAGCCUGACAGCCAGUGAGACACAAAGGGACAGUCCAGGUUUUAAUUGAGGGGGUGGGAGUUACUACUGGGUUGGCUAUUAAGGAGCCAUAUGCACAACCAAGUUAGGAGGAGAAGCAGAGGAUCUGAGUGCAUGCGUAUGCACACACACACACAAAUGCAUGUGCAUGGCAGAUGGUAAUAGCAUGUAUCUCAUAGGGCUGUUAAAAGGACCAACUGAGCUAAUACUUAGUGCUAAGACAGUGCCUGUGUGGGGUGUUUUCUGACACCAACCAACUCUCCAACAUCAACUGGGUGUCCAGCAAUUCAAUUCAAUUCAGUUCUGACACUACCGGGAGUUAGCAUCAGUUCCCACAAGUUAAAGGGAUCAAUCCCCCCACUUCCAGUGCCAGCUGCAAAUAACAAGCUACCCACACUUCUGCCCAGAUGACUACAAAUUUAGGCAUCCCCACACCACCCCCGAAGAGGUUCAGUAAUUUAUUAGGACAACUUGCAUUUAUUGGUUUAUUAUAAAGGAUACAAAUAAACAGCCAGAUAAAGAGCUACACAGGGCAAGAUCUGAAUGGAUGCCGAGUAUAGAAGCCUCUGUCUUCUGCAUUCACCAACCUUGGAACUCUUUGAAUUUCUUUGUUCAAAAG
rnacentral:lncRNA from 1 species